rnacentral:rRNA from 1 species
AACGAACGCUGGCGGCAUGCCUAACACAUGCAAGUCGAACGAAGGCUUCGGCCUUAGUGGCGCACGGGUGAGUAACACGUGGGAACCUGCCUCUUGGUUCGGAAUAACGUCUGGAAACGGACGCUAACACCGGAUACGCCCUUCGGGGGAAAGUUUACGCCGAGAGAGGGGCCCGCGUCCGAUUAGGUAGUUGGUGGGGUAAUGGCCCACCAAGCCGACGAUCGGUAGCUGGUCUGAGAGGAUGAUCAGCCACACUGGGACUGAGACACGGCCCAGACUCCUACGGGAGGCAGCAGUGGGGAAUAUUGGACAAUGGGCGGAAGCCUGAUCCAGCAAUGCCGCGUGAGUGAUGAAGGCCUUAGGGUUGUAAAGCUCUUUCGCACGCGACGAUGAUGACGGAAGCGUGAGAAGAAGCCCCGGCUAACUUCGUGCCAGCAGCCGCGGUAA